rnacentral:misc_RNA from 1 species
CAGAGUUCAUGCCCGAAAGGGUAGACCUCCCACCCUUGUGUAUUAUUACUUUGUUGCUUUGGCGAGCUGCUCUUCGGGGCCUUGCUAUGCUCGCCAGAGAAUAUCAAAACUCUUUUUAUUAAUGUCGUCUGAGUACUAUAUAAUAGUUG